CGAUAUGGCUGGCGCCGGGGCGGUGGCGGCGAGGGCGGGGCGUCGGGCAUCGCUUCUCGGCCUUUUGGCUAAGAUCAAGUGUAGUAUCUGUUCUUAUCAGUUUAAUAUCUGAUACGUCCUCUACCGAGGACAAUAUAUUAAAUGGAUUUUUGGAGCCGGGAGAUGGACUAGGAGCUUGCUCCGUCCACUCCGCGCAUCGACCUGGUAUUGCAGUACUUCCAGGAACGGUGUACCCUUCGGGGUCUAAAUGUUUGGUACCUAAUGACAGACUGUUUUUAUUGCUAUUGCGUAUUGAGUAGGUUUUCUCAAGUGCUUUGUUUUCUGCUCCUCAGGUUGUAAAUACUGUUUUACAGUAAAAACUUCUAUGGACUCGUUUCUUGGAUUUUAUUUAUUUGACACAGAGAGACAGCAAGAGAGAAGCAGGUCUCCCGCCGAGCGGGGAGCCCGAUGCGGGGCUCGAUCCCAGGACCCCAGGAUUAUGACCUGAGCCGAAGGCAGACGCUCAACGACUGAGCUACCCAGGCGCCCCCAGGAUACCAUCGAUCUUUCGUCUUGCUCCUGCCUUUGGGGUUGAAGCAGUUUACUUCGUGUUUUAAACCGCGGUUAUUUUUAAAUGUGAUGGAGGAGCGCACACAGGCCGCCCAUCUUCCCCUUAACCGUGCUUUUCAAAAUCCUGCACGAAGGUAAAAAGUUUCAUUAACCUCCGAGUUAAUGGGGCGGCAUACUGUCUCUCUACAGGGCCAGAGAGUAAAUGGUUUUUAGGCUUCAAGGGCCCCAAAAGGUCUGCGUGACCUAUUCUUUCACAACCCUUUAAAAAUGUAAAAUGCGUUGUGGGCUCUCCGCAUACAAGAACGAGCCUGGCCAGGCGCCUGGGUGGCUCAGCCGGUUAAGCAUCUGCCUUCGGCUCAGGUCAUCGUGAUCCCAGGGUCCUGGGAUCGGGGAGCCCGCUUCUCCCUCCCUCUGCCUGCUGCUCCCCCAGCUUGUGCUCUCUGUCAAAUAGAUGAAUAAAAUCUUAAGAAACAAAAAAACCCACAAACAAGCCUGGGCAAAUUUGCUGGCCGGCUGUAGCUUGCGGACACCUGGUAUAAACAUACCGGCUUUGUGUCUCGUCCCAGAGACAACGCCCCCCUUCAGGCUUUUUGCUAGUCCUCUGCCUGAAUGCCAGAAAGGCCUGACUGACGAUUGCACUUGCACGUGGCUUUGUGACCACAGUAGAAACCGAGAGUUCCUGCUCACCUGUGACUCUCCUGGUUUUUGCAGUCACCUUGAAGACGUUUGUUGAGCACUCACAAUGUACUCUUGAUUAAAUACCUUUCUGUUGUCA